rnacentral:rRNA from 1 species
AUUGAACGCUGGCGGAAUGCUUUACACAUGCAAGUCGAACGGCAGCACGGACUUCGGUCUGGUGGCGAGUGGCGAACGGGUGAGUAAUAUAUCGGAACGUGCCCAGUCGUGGGGGAUAACGUAGUGAAAAUUACGCUAAUACCGCAUACGAUCUAAGGAUGAAAGCGGGGGAUCGCAAGACCUCACGCGAUUGGAGCGGCCGAUAUCAGAUUAGGCAGUUGGUAGGGUAAAGGCCUACCAAGCCAACGAACUGUAGCUGGUCUGAGAGGACGACCAGCCACACUGGAACUGAGACACGGUCCAGACUCCUACGGGAGGCAGCAGUGGGGAAUUUUGGACAAUGGGCGAAAGCCUGAUCCAGCCAUUCCGCGUGCAGGAUGAAGGCCCUCGGGUUGUAAACUGCUUUUGUACAGAACGAAAAGGUCUCUACUAAUACUAGGGCCUCAUGACGGUACUGUAAGAAUAAGCACCGGCUAACUACGUGCCAGCAGCCGCCGCAG